AUUGAACGCUGGCGGCAUGCCUUACACAUGCAAGUCGAACGGCAGCACGGGGCAACCUGGUGGCGAGUGGCGAACGGGUGAGUAAUGCAUCGGAACGUACCUUUCAGUGGGGGAUAACGUAGCGAAAGUUACGCUAAUACCGCAUAUUCUGUGAGCAGGAAAGCAGGGGAUCGCAAGACCUUGCGCUGAUUGAGCGGCCGAUGUCAGAUUAGCUAGUUGGUGAGGUAAAGGCUCACCAAGGCGACGAUCUGUAGCGGGUCUGAGAUGAUGAUCCGCCACACUGGAACUGGGACACGGUCCAGACUCCUACGGGAGGCAGCAGUGGGGAAUUUUGGACAAUGGGGGCAACCCUGAUCCAGCCACGCCGCGUGAGUGAAGAAGGCCUUCGGGUUGUAAAGCUCUUUCGGCCGGGAAGAAAUCGCACGGGCUAAUACCCUGUGUGGAUGACGGUACCGGAAUAAGAAGCACCGGCUAACUACGUGCCAGCCGCCGCCGUAACAC
rnacentral:rRNA from 1 species